rnacentral:rRNA from 1 species
UACGUAGGGGGGCGAGCGUUUGUCCGGAAUCAUUGGGCGUAAAGCGCGUGUAGGCGGCCCGGUAAGUCCGCUGUGAAAGUCCAGGGCUCAACCCUGGGAUGCCGGUGGAUACUGUCGGGCUCGAGUCCGGAAGAGGCGAGUGGAAUUCCGUGGUGUAGCGGUGAAAUGCGCAGAUAUCGGGAGGAACACCGGUGGCGAAGGCGGUCUC